rnacentral:rRNA from 1 species
UUGAAAGGUAAAAAAUGUAACAAGGUCUCCGUUGGUGAACCAGCGGAGGGAUCAUUACCGAGUUUACAACUCCCAAACCCAAUGUGAACGUUACCAAACUGUUGCCUCGGCGGGGUCACGCCCCGGGUGCGUCGCAGCCCCGGAACCAGGCGCCCGCCGGAGGAACCAACCAAACUCUUUCUGUAGUCCCCUCGCGGACGUAUUUCUUACAGCUCUGAGCAAAAAUUCAAAAUGAAUCAAAACUUUCAACAACGGAUCUCUUGGUUCUGGCAUCGAUGAAGAACGCAGCGAAAUGCGAUAAGUAAUGUGAAUUGCAGAAUUCAGUGAAUCAUCGAAUCUUUGAACGCACAUUGCGCCCGCCAGUAUUCUGGCGGGCAUGCCUGUCCGAGCGUCAUUUCAACCCUCGAACCCCUCCGGGGGAUCGGCGUUGGGGAUCGGGACCCCUCACACGGGUGCCGGCCCCGAAAUACAGUGGCGGUCUCGCCGCAGCCUCUCCUGCGCAGUAGUUUGCACAACUCGCACCGGGAGCGCGGCGCGUCCACGUCCGUAAAACACCCAACUUUCUGAAAUGUUGACCUCGGAUCAGGUAGGAAUACCCGCUCGAACUUAAGCAUAUCAAAA